rnacentral:lncRNA from 1 species
CCUUCCCUAAAAAAAAGGUUAGUUCUUGCCUUUGAAUACUGAUUGGCUAUUGAAAUGUAUUUAUUCUCUCUGAUGAUGGCAUCUGAAGAAGUCAAUUUGUGCAAGGCCCAGUCCCAACCACUCAGAAUUAGUUGUCCCGGUCAGUUGAAAGGGGAGAAUAUGCAGCUACCCCUAUGUUACAGCAAAUGCAGAUUUGGGUCAAUGAUCCCCGGUGUCUCUAUCCCCAACAGAUCUUGCAGAUUGCUGUUUGACCGACAUUUGAUUAGGAAACUGUAAGUACAUUUUGCUCUCUUAUAUCUAUAUGUAUUGCCUUACGGUAAACAUGUAUGGGCCACAUGUACUGAAUUCUUCUUAAGCAUCCCCUGUGCUGUUUGUUGGAUAAACCUUGAUUAGUAUCCCCCCAAGCCCCAAACAAUGACCUCUGAAAUCGAGCAAAGAUCACACGUGGUUGUCUGGAGAGAUCCAAGCAGGCAAAGUUUUUUUUUUCUGGUUUAUGUUACUAGUAUCCCCCCAAGCCAACAACCUAACACUGGCAUCUCUGUCAUUUCUCUUAAUUGAUACCCUGG